rnacentral:rRNA from 1 species
AUUGAACGCUGGCGGCAGGCCUAACACAUGCAAGUCGAGCGAGCGGCGGACGGGGGAGAAAUGUCUGGGAAACCGUCUGAUGGAGGGGGAUAACGACAGGAAAAGGUAGCUAAUAACGCAUACCAUCAGAUGUGCCCAGAUGGGAUUAGCGAGUAGGUGGGGGAAUGGCUCACCUAGGCGACGAUCCCUAGAUGUUCUGCGAGGAUGACCAGCAAAACUGGAACGGAGACACGGUCCAGACUCCUACGGGAGGCAGCAGUGGGGAAUAUUGCACAAUGGGCGCAAGCCUGAUGCAGCCAGGCCGCGUGUGUGAAGAAGGCCUUCGGGUUGUAAAGCACUUUCAGCGGGGAGGCGUUACCCGCAGAAGAAGCACCGGCUAACUCCGUGCCAGCAGCCGCGGUAAUUC